GUGAUGGAGGAUUUGCAGGUAUAUCUAAUUAGUGAAUAUUGCUUUCCUAUUUUGGUGUAUGUUAUAACAUUUUUUUUUCAAUUUUCCAAGUGAACUUUUGAGGGAAAAAUGUUUAAUAUUUCCCAGGUAAAGCAAAUCUGAGCAAAGUGAACUGGUAUGAUGCCGGAUACAUUAAAGUUUGUCUUGGUUACCCCAGCACAUUUCUGUCAUUUAAAAGAAACAAUUGAAACCCCUUUAGCUUUUGUUGGCCAGCUCUCUUAAAGCCCAGUUUACUAGAAAGAAAAAAAAUGGUUUCUUUGAAAGAAGAGAGAUUUGCUUCCAGUGUUGAUUCUAGGAAUCACUCUCUUCAAUGUUUUAACUUUUUCUUUUCCUUUGUAUACCUUCUUUCUCUUUCUUGUUAGGUGGUUUUGGAUCUUAAGAAACUCUAUUUUCUUUAACCAGAUUUUUCUCCUUUACCUAAAAUGAGUUGUGUACUCUUUAUCAAUACUUUUAACUUCAUUGCUGAUAUCAAAUUUUUAGCAUGUUUUCUGGUCCAUCAACAUACCAUGAAGGGUGAUGAUGAUGGUACCUCCUAGAUCUGGACUGUUUUGCACUUAUUUCCCCUCCUUUCUAUGAAAUCUGUUUGCCAUGAAUUACCUGUGAUGUCUUGCUUUUUUCUGUUCAAUUUCUUCUUUUCAUUUUAUUAUGCAUUAUUGAUGAGUGUUUUGUACUGUCAUUUUUAUUAUUAUUUUGGAGCAAAGUGGUGAAUUUUACUUUACAAGUGUGGCAGUGUUGAAGUAUUGUUUAUACUAGUAAUUACUCUUUAGUACUGUAA
rnacentral:misc_RNA from 1 species